UACGUAGGGUGCGAGCGUUGUCCGGAAUUAUUGGGCGUAAAGAGCUCGUAGGCGGUGUGUCACGUCGGCCGUGAAAACCUGCAGCUUAACUGUGGGCGUGCGGUCGAUACGGGCAUCACUGGAGUUCGGCAGGGGAGACUGGAAUUCCUGGUGUAGCGGUGAAAUGCGCAGAUAUCAGGAGGAACACCGGUGGCGAAGGCGGGGUCUCUGGGCCGAUACUGACGCUGAGGAGCGAAAGCGUGGGGAGCGAAUGGGG
rnacentral:rRNA from 1 species